GACGAACGUUGGCGGCGUGCUUAAUACAUGCAAGUCAACUGAAGCAGUGGUAGCAAUCUCGCUGUGGAGGUGGCGCACGGGUGGGUAACACGUAGGUAAUCUGCCUUCAGGUCUGGCAUAACUCCGGGAAACCGGGGCUAAUAGCAGAUGAUGCAGCGGCUCGACAUCGGGACAGUUGUUAAAGCUAUGGCGCCUGAAGAUGAGCCUGCGUCUGAUUAGCUAGUUGGCGGGGUAACGGCCCACCAAGGCAACGAUCAGUAGCUGGUCUGAGAGGAUGAUCAGCCACACUGGAACUGAGACACGAUCCAGACUCCUACGGGAGGCAGCAGUAAGGAAUAUUGCUCAAUGGGAGAAAUCCUGAAGCAGCAACGCCGCGUGAGGGACGAAGGGCUUUUGCUUGUAAACCUCUGUAGUGAGAGAAAAAAAUCCCAAUCUUUGGGACAUGAUGGUAUCUCAAAAGUAAGCCCCGGCUAACUACGUG
rnacentral:rRNA from 1 species